rnacentral:rRNA from 1 species
CGGAGGAGUACGAAGGUGCGCUCAGACCGGUCGGAAAUCGGUCGUAGAGUAUAAAGGCAAAAGCGCGCUUGACUGCGAGACAGACACGUCGAGCAGGUACGAAAGUAGGUCAUAGUGAUCCGGUGGUUCUGUAUGGAAGGGCCAUCGCUCAACGGAUAAAAGGUACUCCGGGGAUAACAGGCUGAUACCGCCCAAGAGUUCAUAUCGACGGCGGUGUUUGGCACCUCGAUGUCGGCUCAUCACAUCCUGGGGCUGAAGUCGGUCCCAAGGGUAUGGCUGUUCGCCAUUUAAAGUGGUACGCGAGCUGGGUUUAGAACGUCGUGAGACAGUUCGGUCCCUAUCUGCCGUGGGUGUAGGAUACUUGAGAGGAGUUGCCCCUAGUACGAGAGGACCGGGGUGAACGAUCCACUGGUGGACCUGUUGUUGCGCCAGCAGCAGUGCAGGGUAGCUAUGAUCGGACAGGAUAACCGCUGAAGGCAUCUAAGCGGGAAGCCCCCCUCAAAACAAGGUAUCCCUGAGGACCGUGGUAGACCACCACGUCGAUAGGCCGGAGAUGUAAGUGCAGCAAUGCAUUCAGU